CGGAGUCUCAGUGACAAAAAGCUCCCGCUCGGUGCCCAGCGCCUGGCGGCGGUGUCCGACCGCGAACGCAGAGGGCGGCCACGCAGGUGGGGGUGUAGCCCGAAGGGCCGGGCCGGGAGCUGGGGCUGCAGGCUCCGCCGCUGCGCUGUCAGCGCCUGCCCCGUGGCUCUCGGCUGGAGGAGCGGCGGCCGCCUGCCCGGGGCGCGCGUCUGGCUGAGAGGGGCUGGCGCGUCGGGACCACCUGCCGAUGCUGUCGCCGCCGCCGCCGCCUCUGUAGCGAGCGCCCAAGCCCGCCGCGGAGAAAGGCUGAAGAAAGCUCAGUCUCAAUUGUGUUUCCUGCCUGUCAGCCUCUUGCCUCCUAAACGCGUACCAUUUCCACUUGAUGUCAUCAUGCAGAAGGGGGUGAAAGAGACUCGGUGACGGAUUCAGGUUUACAGCAACCCCUGAAGGCCAACCUCUACAGUGGGCAGCAUGUUCUGAAUGCCUGUGCUGGCUGCGAGGAAAAUGGGGAGAGGAGCCAGGAAAAGCGCAACUGCCCACAUUACCGUGAAUCUCCUCGGACAGCUUUGUAAGUGAGGAGCUGGGGUAUCUGAAUUGCCCCAGGAGGCUCGUUAAGUUCUAAGAAGGUGAGCAAAAUUGAUUUAAUAUAUUAUUUGUGUUAGCUAGCAUAUUCAUUUAAGGUUAAAUUUACAUAAUAGUAAAGUUGUAUUUUUAUGUGUGUUUUGUGUAUUUUUAUACUACAGUGGGGGUUCCUUAUAGAAUUAGUGUGCUCUGGACGUUCGUGGCCAUUUUAUAGGAUUUAGGAGCAGUAUUUUACAUUUUAAAUGAUUACUGUGAAUCCAGUUGUUAUUUUUAUUUUUCCUGCUGCAUUGCUGGUAAUAUCUAGGUUUAUCUGAUGCUG
rnacentral:lncRNA from 1 species